UACGUAGGGUGCGAGCGUUGUCCGGAAUUACUGGGCGGAAAGAGCUCGUAGGUGGUUUGUCGCGUUGUUCGUGAAAUCUCACGGCUUAACUGUGAGCGUGCGGGCGAUACGGGCAGACUAGAGUACUGCAGGGGAGACUGGAAUUCCUGGUGUAGCGGUGGAAUGCGCAGAUAUCAGGAGGAACACCGGUGGCGAAGGCGGGUCUCUGGGCAGUAACUGACGCUGAGGAGCGAAAGCGUGGGGAGCGAACAGG
rnacentral:rRNA from 1 species